UGAAGCUGACGGCACAGUUUUGAACUUUGGGAAGAAUAAAGGAAAGCACAGCUACUGGAAUUAACUCAUGAGACUGAGGCAAACAGGAAAAGUCCACAUCCAUUGUUAUGUCACACAUAGCUAAUGAAUGCACAUGCUUUAACACACUAAAACUCAAGACAGUGUUUAUGGUAGGUAGUGAAUUAAGUGUGGACUGACAAUGUAGCAGCAUGGUGCUCCUGUUAAUUGUCCUUGCUCUUUACUUUCCUUCAGGAAAAGCGUCUGGAUGGGGUUAGGCAGCCUAGAUGCAUUCUUCAAAGCAUUCCAGAGGAGUAAACAAGAGCAAGAGCGAUCAUGAUUCACAGAUCGUUUACACAGACCCGAGACCAAGACCGACAUGUCUUUGGACUGAAAAAGAGGAGCAGUCUGCAGCCUCCAGCCUUACCCAACUGUGUUAUCAAUAGCAUUUACAAAGAUCUCUGUCCCUUAAUUUCACUGAGCAAAUCUGAAGCUGGGGGAAACAAAGUCAAAGAAAGCAAAAAAGCAUUUUGGAAGACUGAGCAACUCACCUAA
rnacentral:lncRNA from 1 species